GACGAACGCUGGCGGCGUGCUUAACACAUGCAAGUCGAACGGAAAGGCCCUGCUUUUGUGGGGUGCUCGAGUGGCGAACGGGUGAGUAACACGUGAGUAACCUGCCCUUGACUUUGGGAUAACUUCAGGAAACUGGGGCUAAUACCGGAUAGGAGCUCCUGCUGCAUGGUGGGGGUUGGAAAGUUUCGGCGGUUGGGGAUGGACUCGCGGCUUAUCAGCUUGUUGGUGGAGUAGUGGCUUACCAAGGCUUUGACGGGUAGCCGGCCUGAGAGGGUGACCGGCCACAUGGGGACUGAGAUACGGACCAGACUCCUACGGGAGGCAGCAGUGGGGAAUAUUGCACAAUGGGCGGAAGCCUGAUGCAGCAACGCCGCGUGCGGGAUGACGGCCUUCGGGUUGUAAACCGCUUUCGCAUGUGACGAAGCGUGAGUGACGGUAAUGGGUAAAGAAGCACCGGCUAACUACGUG
rnacentral:rRNA from 1 species